GUUGAACGCUGGCGGCAGGCUUAACACAUGCACGUCGAGCGAGAGUCGGACGGGUGAGUAAUGUCUGGGAAAGUGCCUGAUGGAGGGGGAUAACUACUGGAAACGGUAGCUAUUACCGCAUACCAUCAGAUGUGCCCAGAUGUGAUUAGCUAGUAGGUGUGGUAAUGGCUCACCUAGGCGACGAUCCCUAGCUGGUCUGAGAGGAUGACCAGACACAAUGUAACUGAGACACGGUCCAGACUCCUACGGGAGGCAGCAGUGGGGAAUAUUGCACAAGGGGCGCAAGCCUGAUGCAGCCAUGCCGCGUGUGUGAAGAAGGCCUUCGGGUUGUAAAGCACUUUCAGCGAGGAGGCGUUACUCGCAGAAGAAGCACCGGCUAACUCCGUGCCAGCAGCCGCGGUAAUUC
rnacentral:rRNA from 1 species